CAAGGAAAUAAUCCAAAAUGACAAAAAUAGGUGCAAAGGAUUCUGUGAAAAUUUCAGUGGGGUAAGAGGACCACCUAAAAGCCCGGGAUGGGCCGACCCUCCCGAGAAGGAAGGCUACCCAUGGGAGAGAUCUAAGAGUUCUCGGGGAAUCCUGAAGUUAGGGUCACUCUCGCCCCAGAAAAGGAAGCUGUUGUUUGGGGAUGGUGACUAAAAGUCCUCACAAUACACACGGAACUAAAAAUAUCUCUCUCCUUGGCACUGGGUCCUAACACGAUCCGCAGAGCCUGGCUUCAGCGUCCAUACACCACACAGGGUCCUACUGCGAGGGCUGGCCUCGGGCUCCAGCCCAGUCCUUUUUGUCUCCCCCCUGAUCAUUCCCACUUGUUUUAUACCAGGACAGGAGUCAUGUCUCUAGCGUGUCUUUCUUGGCUUUUCCACCAACCAUUCUAUGGAAAUUAGGCCUUCGGCUAAGUUCUACUGUUACUGUCUGUACGACUUUAGCAGGGUUGACUCUACUGGCUCUGACAGGCUCCCUCCACUGAAUUCUGAUCACCGCCAUGUCUUUUUUUCAGAUAUACUAAAAAAGCCAAAAUCAAUUAGUGUCAGAAACACGAACAAAGGCUGCCAAUGAGCACAGGAUCGUGGUGGGACGAGGGAGGCCGAGCCGUGGGCCCAGACUUGACAUCCCCAUCAGAGCUCUCCUAACGAAACUUCACACGUGUUUUGAAGCUUCAGAGUUUCUACGAGGCCAAGCAAGUGAAAAUACACUUCUGACGAAGAAGACCACCUCAGUCUUCCCUUCCAGGAAGCUAACAGCCACAGGGCAAAAAGCAUCAUGACAGGAGCACGGCGUUUCCAGAGAGCACCUACCUAAACUGACGGUGGCUUUCAAUGUUUCUGGAACCUUCUGUUCUAGAAGUGGCAACAUGAGCACCCUUAAGCAGUGAGCAGCAUCCGGAAGAGUUAAGGACACCUAUGCAGUGUUGACUGGAGCUUCAUCAAGGACCACUACACUUGACUAUUGGUAGCUGUGGAGCAGUUACAAUCGUCUCAGGAUUUGUAGUAAGAUAUUGCUUGAAAGAAUCAAUUCAUCUUGCCACCUAUAAAGUGAUGUGCAGGAAGACUCCCGCCACUUGUCAGCAGGACUUGGCUCUCAGUGAAGAGAUGAUGUUUAUGAAAAUCUAACUGUUCUGUUAAAGAGAGUGAUUUCUACAUUUGGCAUUUGAAAGGAAGCCUGGAGGCUGGAGUGACAAUGCCACCAUGUUUCCUGAGCACAGAGGACAGCUUUGCAAAGACACUGUCUGGAAGUGGACCACACGGGCUUUUUAGGAUUGAAUUCUGAGUAGAGAUGUUUUAAUGAAUGGUAUCUUGGUUAUGUAGGCCGACUUACUGCAGCAGGUUAUUAAAUAAUACAUGAAGACAAUGGCUCAUGAAAUAUAGACAGCUCUGAGGUUUGUGUACAAGUGACAUAGAAGCAUGGCGUGAGCCUUGGGAGAGUCCUUCCCACUGACUUGAUAUAUUAUAUGUAGCCAUCUUCUGGGACCUGCCAGCCUUGGAGAAGAAGAAGAACAGGAUACUACAAGCCUCAAACACUGUCUUAGAGCCGAUAGAGAUCAGAUUGCUGGGGAACAAUAAAGAUGGAUAAAGCUCACUUUUCCAUUUUGAACAUAUGAGUUAUCCCCACCUCCACAGGAAAAUCAUAUUUCAAGAACACUGACUUACCAAGACACCAGUCUUCUUGUCUUCAUUUGCAUGUUAACAGUGGCGUACAGACUUCCAUCCUGGCACCUGUCUCCAACAUUGCUUUGGAUUCAAUAUACACAGGAAUUUGGAUUUCAGUUUUCUGAUCUGGGUGUCUUCUAUCUAGUUUAAGAGCUGGUAAACUCCAUUUCCAUCUUGACCCUCAUGAACUGGAUGAAGAAAAGUCAGUGCAGCAGGUAGCACCUCCUCCCACCCCUGCCAACCAACCCCGGCUGUAGUUGAAAGAACAUGAAACCUAGUGACUCAAUCCAGAGGUUAUGAUCUGGUGGCCAUCACUAUUUUUCCAGGUAUAUUGAGCCAUAGUUGAAGUUUGCCAAACAAAAACAAAAACAAGCAAGGACUGAAACAGAAAGAGUUCCACUAACUGCGUUGAGGUGUUGGUGCAGAGGGCAGUAUGAAGAGCGGCCAGCUCCCUGGGCAGUGCCAAGCCUCGAGAACGUGGACACCCAAAGGCAACAAAGGAGACCAGAACUUUUUGCUUGGAUGAAAAGAUAGGAAGUCCCGAGGAAAAGACAUGUUUAAAGAGCCUGAUUGUGCAGAUGUAAUUUUGGGGGCUCUUUAAGGAUUUGUAUGGUGACCGUGAACUCUGAGCCGUGUAAAAUGUCAAAGUGCUCACCCUCUCCCACAGGAGAAUAAUUCCAACAAAGGAAAUAUACAAAGAGUGGCUUCAGAGUGUUGGUGAAACAUGAGGCCGUACCACUGCCCCUCCUUGAAGGGACAAGGAAGUCAGCUCAGCUUGGCCAGUGGGAGUGAAGUAAAGCAUCAAGGGAAAUGUCCCUACAUCCCCGUUGUCGGCGCUCCUUCUUAGGAGAGCAGGGAUCUGACUUCUCUGCUUUUAAAGCCUUCUUGCAUUGAGUUGCUUCUAUCUCAGGCUGCUUUGAAAAAAAUUUUUUUCUGCUUUCAAAAUACUAUUUUGAUCUUUCUCCUCUGCCUGACCCAGUGAUAGCCACAGUUUUUAACUUUCCUCUUUGGAACUGGAUGGGACAGUGUAUUUAUUUAUUUUAUUUUGCAAGAUGCCCAGCUUUCAAAAUCAUGUAAUUCAACAAAACCCGAUCUCCUUUCUUUAGAUGUGUAUUUCUACAUCUGGUAGGUCAAGCUAAACCAGUGUCUCCUGACAGGAUGUUGCUUGACUCCUGUCCAGGCUGAAGUACUUAAAAAAUGCCAGGCACUACAACAAUUUUAAAUCUCUCUCUACACUGCACAUGGCUAUUUAAAAUAAUUGAAGCUCUUCAAAUUUUUAUAUGCGUUCAAAUUUGGAAGUCAUUGGUUCUGAGCAUGUGCAGGACACAAUGAUUUAAGGUUAUUAGAGUCUCCUCAAUUUAUGCUGAGUGUUUCAGCUUGAGUCUGACAGGGGAACCUGAACUGGGGCAUUUACAAGUGAUUUAACAUUGUCAUUACACUCAGAUGUUGUGCAGGUGAUCAGAAUUAUGGACACUUGUUUACUUUUUGAGAAAAGCACUGUAAAAAUGACAGAUUUUUUUCCAGUUCAAACGAUAUUAUUAGCCCACCAGAAAACACUUAAAUUAACCACUUAACGUGCACCAUAACCCAAUUUUACUUUCACUGUCAUAGUUUCCACCAAUGACCUGAUUAGAACUACAACUGUAAAGCCAUAUGAGCAUUUGGCUUGGUAAAGAGCUGUUCCCUUCGAGAGCACGCAAGGAGAAAUAAGACUUCAGUAAAACACCUGAUGCACUCUGAUGAUGUCCCAGAGUCUGUAGUAGUUUACCCUUGGAGAGGAAGUAGGUUUUACUCUGAAUACAGAGAUUUUUGAAUGAUUGCAUUUCACACACAGUUUAAGGUUUAAUUUCAAUGUCUUAAAUACGUACUUUUAUUAAUUAUGUUUUCACAUGAAAAAGUUGUACUAUACUAUCUUUAGUUGAAAUACAUCUUAAUUUUUAAUGUCUUCUUUGAUCUGGAGGGCUCUAAAACAAAUGCAAGGGUAGAUAGUUUGGACGUACACCAGCUGGAAUUCUCAGAUGAUUUACUUGGUCACUUGAUGGCCCUUUAAUAUUCCUUGGGGGUCUUUUACCAAAAGACAUUCUCUGAACAGGAACACUGAAAUUCUACUGACUAUCUUGAUGCCAAGUCUCUGACAUGGAAGGUGGAUUUAUGGCUUAAUAGCUAAUAUUAUAUAACAACAAAAAAUCUAGUCAUUAAGAAGUCUGCUAAAUCUACUAUGUUCAUAGCAGCCCUAUUUAUAAUUGCCAGAUGCUGGAAAGAACCCAGGUAUCCCUCAACAGAAGAAUGGAUGCAAAAAAUGUGGUAUAUCUACACAAUGGAGUACUAUUCAGCCAUUAGAAACAAUGAAUUCAUGAAAUUCUUAGGCAAAUGGAUGGAGCUAGAGAACAUCAUACUAAGUGAGGUAACCCAGACUCAAAAGGUGAAUCAUGGUAUGCACUCACUAAUAAGUGGAUAUUAACCUAGAAAACUGGAAUACCCAAAACAUAAUCCACACAUCAAAUGAGGUACAAGAAGAAAGGAGGAGUGGCCCCUGGUUCUGGAAAGACUCAGUGAAGCAGUAUUCAGCAAAACCAGAACGGG